AUACGGCCAUAUCAUGUUGAAACAACGGUUCCCGUAUGAUCAACGAAGUUAAGCGACUUCCAGCCUGGCAAGAACCGAGAUGGGUGACCGCUUGGGAAUAAGCGU